UACAGAGGGUGCGAGCGUUGUCCGGAAUCACUGGGCGUAAAGGGCGCGUAGGUGGCGCUCCAAGUCCGUGGUGAAAGCUCGAUGCUCAACAUCGAGUCGGCCACGGAGACUGGAGGGCUCGAGCACUGUAGGGGCAGAUGGAAUUCCGGGUGUAGCGGUGGAAUGCGUAGAGAUCCGGAAGAACACCGGAGGCGAAGGCGGUCUGCUGGGCAGUUGCUGACACUGAGGCGCGACAGCGUGGGGAGCAAACAGG
rnacentral:rRNA from 1 species